rnacentral:rRNA from 1 species
GACGAACGCUGGCGGCGUGCUUAACACAUGCAAGUCGAACGGAAAGGCCCUGCUUUUGUGGGGUGCUCGAGUGGCGAACGGGUGAGUAACACGUGAGUAACCUGCCCUUGACUUUGGGAUAACUUCAGGAAACUGGGGCUAAUACCGGAUAGGAGCUCCUGCUGCAUGGUGGGGGUUGGAAAGUUUCGGCGGUUGGGGAUGGACUCGCGGCUUAUCAGCUUGUUGGUGGGGUAGUGGCUUACCAAGGCUUUGACGGGUAGCCGGCCUGAGAGGGUGACCGGCCACAUUGGGACUGAGAUACGGCCCAGACUCCUACGGGAGGCAGGAGUGGGGAAUAUAGCACAAUGGGCGGAAGCCGGAUGCAGCAACGCCGCGUGCGGGAUGACGGCCUUCGGGUUGUAAACCGCUUUCGCCUGUGACGAAGCGUGAGGGACGGUAAUGGGUAAAGAAGCACCGGCUAACUACGU